GGUGGAAUUAUCUGGCCAGGCCAGGAGGAUAUUGAGGAGGAGAGGGCGAAGGAAAGCAAAGGUUCAGAAGUGCCAUCAAAACUGAAUUGCGUCUUCCUGUACAGGUGCAUGGAACUUUCUGUGCAGCAGAGGCCCACAUCACAACCAAAGCAUGUGAGGAUAACUGCCUCUACAAGAAGAACAUGAGCUCUUUUCCCUCCUCACUGAUCAUCCUGUGUGCUCCCCUCAGGACUCAUGACAGUUCAGUGGAGAAGAGCUCGUGAGUAUGGCCAGCAAAGCAAAGGAGAUUUACUUGAGAAAGAGCUAGUGCUUCCCAGCUAUGUUAAAACUAAUGCUUGGUUCUCUUGGGUGCCGUUGACUUUGAUCGGUGUUAUAAGCCACCUGGUGAUGGGCUGCAGUAGAAAAAGCAGUUGCCACUGGAGGUGAACACAAGGUGAGCUAAAAACUGAA